rnacentral:rRNA from 1 species
GACGAACGCUGGCGGCGUGCUUAACACAUGCAAGUCGAACGGAAAGGCCCUGCUUUUGUGGGGUGCUCGAGUGGCGAACGGGUGAGUAACACGUGAGUAACCUGCCCUUGACUUUGGGAUAACUUCAGGAAACUGGGGCUAAUACCGGAUAGGAGCUCCUGCUGCAUGGUGGGGGUUGGAAAGUUUCGGCGGUUGGGGAUGGACUCGCGGCUUAUCAGCUUGUUGGUGGGGUAGUGGCUUACCAAGGCUUUGACGGGUAGCCGGCCUGAGAGGGUGACCGGCCACAUUGGGACUGAGAUACGGCCCAGACUCUUACGGGAGGCAGCAGUGGGGAAUAUUGCACAAUGGGCGGAAGCCUGAUGCAGCAACGCCGCGUGCGGGAUGACGGCCUUCGGGUUGUAAACCGCUUUCGCCUGUGACGAAGCGUGAGCGACGGUAAUGGGUAAAGAAGCACCGGCUAACUACGUG